CUGGGCUCCUCUGCAGCCUGUUCUUCCUCCUCAACGUCAAAGCUCCCGACACGCUCGGUGACAUAUGGCAGCCUAUGUGUGCGGUAUGCCAAAUGCGCUAUGUUUGCUUUCUGACUCUGGAGCCUGGUGUGUGUUUGGGGCAUCCUAGUUCUUACAGGGGUACUGGUAAACUGGCAGCUGGCCACUGGAAUCUUUUUUGGAAUGAGCUUGACCAAAACCUGCGCAUAGGUUAGGAAGGCCAACCUCGGGAGCACAGCUGUGGGCAUCUGGUCCAACCCAGCCUCAGUUUGAGCCGG
rnacentral:lncRNA from 1 species